rnacentral:rRNA from 1 species
AUUGAACGCUGGCGGCAUGCCUUACGCAUGCAAGUCGAACGGCAGCACGGGAGCAAUCCUGGUGGCGAGUGGCGAACGGGUGAGUAAAGUAUCGGAACGUGCCCAGUCGUGGGGGAUAACGUAGCGAAAGUUACGCUAAUACCGCAUACGAUCGAUGGAUGAAAGCGGGGGAUCGCAAGACCUCGCGCGAUUGGAGCGGCCGAAAUCAGAUUAGUUAGUUGGUGGGGUAAAGGCUCACCAAGCCGACGAUCUGUAGCUGGUCUGAGAGGACGACCAGCCACACUGGGACUGAGACACGGCCCAGACUCCUACGGGAGGCAGCAGUGGGGAAUUUUGGACAAUGGGCGAAAGCCUGAUCCAGCCAUGCCGCGUGCAGGAUGAAGGCCUUCGGGUUGUAAACUGCUUUUGUACGGAACGAAAAGGUUUGGGCUAAUAAGCUGAGCUCAUGACGGUACCGUAAGAAUAAGCACCGGCUAACUACGUGCCAGCCGCCGCCAUAACAC